rnacentral:lncRNA from 15 species
AUGCACAGUGGACCAAACAGACUUUUCAAUUUUUGUUGUUUGCUUGUGUUGGGUGCUGGAAAGGUAACAAAGAGUUCCUGCAGAGCUGCUGCAGUAUGUCUGGGUCUGCUGUGUAUUCUCCUCGUGAUCGGACUCAUUACUCUGGUUUUCCUAUUUACCAAGAGCAACUCUCAGUGGGAAAUGGAAAUGAUCCAGUUACGGACCAGCUACAACAACCUGACUGAAGAAAAAGACCAACUGACUACAGAAAAAGACCGACUGACUACAGAAAAAGACCAACUGACUACAGAAAAAGACCGACUGACUACAGAAAAAGACCAACUGACUACAGAAAAAGACCAACUGACUACAGAAAAAGACAAACUGACUAAAGAAAAAGCUGCAAUAAAACAAGCCCUGACCGACGAUGAGACUGAUCUUCAGAGAAAGCUUUAAGGUAACUAUAGAACUUGAGAGAUGUUGUGUGAUUGCUGACUGCUGAAGAGCUGAUGCUGUACUGUCAGAGGUGUGGACUCGAGUUAAAUGACUUGGGCUCAAGUCACAAAUUUGAUGACUUUAGACUUGAGAAAAUUAGCUUGACUAGGACAUAACACCAAUGACUCGUAACUUCACUUGGACUUGAGCCUUUUGACUUGAAAAUGAUACCUUCCCCCAAGAGUGUGUUAUUUGAAACGUGUGCCAUGAAUCAAUUAAUUUCCUAAAACAAUUAACGUUAACAAUGUCCAUUCCCAGCAAGUCCACACUUAUUCCCCAAAUCCACUUUGUUUGAACCAAUCAAGUUGCAGGAAAGAAGAACAAACUUUACGUUGGACUUGCCUAGGGACUUGCAAACCAAUGACUUGGUCCCACCUCUACAUAUUGCUUCAUAAUAG